UACGGAGGGUGCAAGCGUUAUCCGGAUUCAUUGGGUUUAAAGGGUGCGUAGGAGGGCAGGUAAGUCAGUGGUGAAAUCCCCGAGCUUAACUUGGGAACUGCCGUUGAUACUAUCUGUCUUGAAUACCGUGGAGGUGAGCGGAAUAUGUCAUGUAGCGGUGAAAUGCUUAGAUAUGACAUAGAACACCGAUUGCGAAGGCAGCUUACUACAGGGAUAUUGACACUGAGGCACGAAAGCGUGGGGAUCAAACAGG
rnacentral:rRNA from 1 species